UACGGAGGAUCCGAGCGUUAUCCGGAUUUAUUGGGUUUAAAGGGAGCGUAGGUGGAUUGUUAAGUCAGUUGUGAAAGUUUGCGGCUCAACCGUAAAAUUGCAGUUGAAACUGGCAGUCUUGAGUAUAGUAGAGGUGGGCGGAAUUCGUGGUGUAGCGGUGAAAUGCUUAGAUAUCACGAAGAACUCCGAUUGCGAAGGCAGCUCACUGGACUGCAACUGACACUGAGGCUCGAAAGUGUGGGUAUCAAACAGG
rnacentral:rRNA from 1 species